rnacentral:tRNA from 1 species
GAUUUUUUAGUUUAUGUUUAAAAUUUUUGUUUUUCAAUCAAAAGAUGAUAAUAUUAUCAUUAAUUU